rnacentral:rRNA from 1 species
UACGUAGGAGACGAGCGUUGUCCGGAAUUACUGGGCGUAAAGCGCGUGUAGGCGGAUGAGCAAGUCUGCUGUGAAAGCUCCUGGCUUAACCGGGAGUGGUCGGUGGAAACUGCUCGUCUGGAGGACGGUAGAGGUAGGUAGAAUUCCCGGUGUAGUGGUGAAAUGCGUAGAGAUCGGGAGGAAUACCUGUGGCGAAGGCGGGUCUCUGGGCAAUUCCUGACGCUGAGGCGCGAAAGCGUGGGGAGCAAACGGG